AGCAGCUAAGUAAUACAGGUGGCAGGCUGUGGGUGUCUGCUGCCUCUGUAGUCACGCCUUGAGGACUUACCUCGCGCUUCAUUUCUCUCAGGGAGAGGAUUAUGGGCUUUGGAGUUUCGUACUGCGCUUGGAGUUUGUUUGUGUGUUUGGAUUUUAUUUCUUUUCCUUUUGGAUAAAGCGCUGCAAAAUCCUGCAGUGUCUCUGCCAGAGCUCGAGGCAUGCCUGAGGAAGCGGCAGCAAGCUGCCCACAGAGACCACAUAUCCUCCCACUCCUCCUCCUGCUCAAGUUGCUGAAAUGCUGCCCAAAACCAACACCACAAAGUCGUCAGUGAAGCACUUCCCCAUCAUGGCCUUGUUACCCACUUCAGAAAGGAUAUGUAUUGUCUCCUGGUUCAGCACUGCAGGGCGUUAGCAGCAGUAUCUUUGGUUGUUUAACUGCUUUGUUGACUGGCCAGGGUAUUCCAAGGCAUUUGGCAUCACCAUCACAGACCUCUGCUGUGGUUUGAUCCAUCUCACCCUGUGAUGGACGAAAAUGAGAUAGGGAUUAAAAAACUACUGUAUGGGAAAGAAAACCUCUC
rnacentral:lncRNA from 14 species